CAAAACUCAAAAACUUAGUCUCAGUUCGGAUUGUAGGCUGAAACUCGCCUACAUGAAGCUGGAGUUGCUAGUAAUCGCGAAUCAGCAUGUCGCGGUGAAUACGUUCCCGGGCCUUGUACACACCGCCCGUCACACCAUGAGAGUUGGCAAUACCCAACGUACGUGAUCUAACCCGCAAGGGAGGAAGCGUCCUAAGGUAGGGUCAGCGAUUGGGGUGAAGUCGUAACAAGGUAAC
rnacentral:rRNA from 1 species